rnacentral:misc_RNA from 1 species
CAGCCGCGUAAUUCCAGCUCCAAUAGCGUAUAUUAAAGUUGUUGCAGUUAAAAAGCUCGUAGUUGAAUUUCGGGAUCAGUAUGUUGGUCGUGCUUCGGUACGUACUGUCAUUACUGGUUUCUACCUUCUGAAGAACCUUGAUGUCAUUAAUUUGGUGUCUUGGGAAAUCAGGACUGUUACUUUGAAAAAAUUAGAGUGUUUAAAGCAAGCAUACGCUUGAAUACAUUAGCAUGGAAUAAUGAAAUAGGACGUUUGAUUCUAUUUUGUUGGUUUCUAGGAUCGACGUAAUGAUUAAUAGGGAUAGUUGGGGGCAUUAGUAUUCAAUUGUCAGAGGUGAAAUUCUUGGAUUUAUUGAAGACUAACUACUGCGAAAGCAUUUGCCAAGGAUGUUUUCAUUAAUCAAGAACGAAAGUUAGGGGAUCGAAGACGAUCAGAUACCGUCGUAGUCUUAACCAUAAACUAUGCCGACUAGGGAUCGGAUGAUGUUAUUUUUAAUGACUCAUUCGGCGCCUUACG